GGGCGGGUCUGCGCCCCUCCUCCUCGCGGCCACCUCCUCGUCCUGCUCUUUGUCCUCCGGCAUCCAGAUUCCUCGGGCACAGCCGGGCGGGGACCCAGCAUGCUGGCCGCGGCGACCUGGGAGUGCCCGGCCUGCCCAGCGAGGCUCCGGCUGUGCCAGGCCUUCCCCGCUUCCCUGGAACCAACACAAGGCAGGUGACUACAGGAACAGCCUCCCAGCACGGUCCACCGUGGCUCACUGAGUCCCUGCCCCCCGGAAUCCACAGCCAGCCAAGCCUAGGCGAGGUUUGUAUGAGCCACACAACACAUGGAACCAAGCACGUGCCUCUUUGUCCAACAACAGGGGCAACCUGAGAGCACAGCCCAUCUGCCCAGAUGGUGUCUUCUUAGGGCACACACCUCGUGAGAAAAAGGGCCAGCGCUGGCUUCAGCGCACUAAAACAACGGGGCCACGUUCUCAAGUGGGAUUUCUAGACAUUUCUAGAUCCCUCCAACCUUCUUAUGUUUGCCAAAAACCACACAUAUUUCACCAAUGAGUAAAUUUUGGGGGCCAAGGUGAUUAUAAGAAUUAAUUCUCAGAAACCUUAAAAUGUCAAUGUUGAAGAUUUUUAUUCUUCAAUACUAAAUCUCAGCAAAACAAGGUGAAUCACAAUGGUAAGAAACAGGUUUGGGGGCUGGAAAACACAACAUGGAUAAAUUACAACGGUAAACACAAUGUACUUUUUAUAAACCAAAAUAAAAUGGACACUGCUUCUGAAAAUUAAAGCUGGGGUUACAUAAUACAACAUUCAAUAAUUCAGACAAUUUAAACCCACAAAUGCGAGAAUGCCACAAUUUAAAACCACAAAAAAGAAGCUACUGAGUAACUCAAAAGCAUUUCAAGACUGUUCACUGACCACAUGCACUUAAUAUGCAGCACCCUGAGUUUUAAAGCACUGGAGACAUGUCCAAAGGAAAGAACAGACCAGCAGCCAGAGCGACAAAUACAAAUAGAGAGAUGAGUUAGUCAUUUUCAUGCACUGUUCUACUAAAAAGCAAUAUAGGUAACAUUUUCCCUUUCUCCUUUAUUUUAAAGGUGGGAGGGGAUAGCAAGUAUUUUACUUACAUACCCACUGAGAACAGCUUUAUUUUGGAGUAUUUAAUUCCAGAAUAAUGGCUAGGUAUUAUCAUUCAGGUAUAUUUUAAUGGAUGUAAUGUAUUUCUAAAUACCAGUUACUGUAAUGCCAAGUAAUAUCACUGUAUUCCUGAACCAAGCAUAUAGCAUGCAUAAAAUCUGGCCAAUUGUUCUGAUUUUAGGAGAGUUGACUCUCACUCACUGGAUAUGUUUUCUCUAUGGGAAGCAAAAGUCAGCAGAAAAGAAACCUUGAAAUCCCAGUGAACUGCAAGAAAAGGACAACCCCUACUUCCUACCAAGAACAAUGCACUCACCCUGUGAACUCACAAAGUUCUGGACUUCUCAACUGGUUAACAAAAAAUAAAACAUGUAAAAGUGAAUCGAACCUAAUAGAAUAGUGAUUCAUCUACAUGAUGCACAGUGAAAAGUUAAUGAAUCCAAACAUACAAAUUUUCCAGUUGGGAGUAUCAUUCACCUCUCUUCCACAAAGAACUCAGUUACAAACACUAAUGUUUUCAUGAUUAAAUCAUUAAACUCAAGAUCUAGGAGGAAGGCAGUCAUUCUACAAGACAAGUUAUUGUUCUAUUAAAUUUUAAACAUCUAACCACAGUGUAAUGGGAUUAAGUUUUAAAUUUUUGUUCACCAAGCUGCUUGUAAAUACCCAUACUUCGUAUUUUACAUUUGAGGGCAGACGUAUUACUAAGAGUCCAAAUGUUUCCAGCACAAAGCUUUAAGUGAUCACACCAGUGGAAGGUCAUUCCUAAGUCAUCCUCAACUAUGGACAGCACCUGUUGCUUCUAUUAAUAGCUCAGUUCCCAGGCCCUGAUUUGACUGAAUCUGUGCUCAACAAGACGGGACUCACGCCAAACAGGAAAAGCCAACAAGGCUGUAAGAAAUAAAACUCUUGCUGUGUUGACAGCAAUAUAACUAAAUAUCUAGCAUAAAGCUGGCCAAAGAAUAAACAGAGAAUGUACGAGGUAUCUUCCGUGCUAGAAAACCUGAUCACAGGCAUCUCCAUGGAGUCACACCUGAAGCUUACAGUGAGGUCCUCUGGAGGCGACCCUGGUGUUAGGGCAGAGGAGCAGCUCACAAGUGAACACGGCCUGAUUGCAUGGCCCGGUCCUGUCCGGUUCGGGCCACGUGGCCUUACCCAGCUUACUGUUUACCUCUCUGAACAUCAGUUCCUCCUCUGUAAACUAGGGACAAUAACCAGCACAAUUCUCAUGGGAAAGUUAUGUGAGCUAAAGGAACCGUACAAAUAAAUUUGCCAAACAGAUACUGAGCACCUAAUAGCUGUUUUAGAGCUGCAUUUCUCUUGUGUUGCUCCAAAAAUAAGAUCUGAAAGCUAAAAUAAACCCUUCUCAGGAUCCUGUGCCAUCAAUGAACUGUGGGUUAAGGGCUGGGGAUAGCUCAGGGGCAUAGCGCCCGUCUGUCAAAUGGAGGGUCCUGAGUCUGAUUCCUGGUACCAAGAAAAAAAAAGAAAU